UGGGGAAUAUUGGACAAUGGGGGAAACCCUGAUCCAGCAAUGCCGCGUGAGUGAAGAAGGCCUUAGGGUUGUAAAACUCUUUCACCGGGGAAGAUAAUGACGGUACCCGGAGAAGAAGCCCCGGCUAACUCCGUGCCAGCAGCCGCGGUAAGACGGAGGGGGCUAGCGUUGUUCGGAAUUACUCGGCGUAAAGCGCACGUAGGUGGUUUGGUUAGUUGGAGGUGAAAGCCCGGAGCUCAACUUCGGAAUUGCCUUCAAUACUGCCGGACUCGAGGCAGGGAGAGGAGAGUGGAAUACCCAGUGUAGAGGUGAAAUUCGUAGAUAUUGGGUGGAACACCAGAGGCGAAGGCGGCUCUCUGGCCCUGUCCUGACACUAAGGUGCGAAAGCGUGGGGAGCAAACAGGAUUAGAUACCCCGGUAGUCC
rnacentral:rRNA from 1 species